AUACAUACAAAUUAAUUUGAAAGGUGUUGAAGUAUAAGCUUAAAGAAAUUGUUUGAACUUAUUAUGUUUUUAGAUAAUAGUGAAUCUCUUGCAUAAAGCUAUUAAAACAUACAUAUAAGAAUAUACUAUGAUUUUUUUUAUAGUACAGGGGGCAAACAGGCAGGAGGCAGGGCUCGUGAAUGCGUUGCCGGCCUUUUAAGAAUUGGUACGCUGUUUUUUUGAAGGACCCUAAGUCGAAUUGGUUAGGAAACACUUCAUAUCAUUAUCUAUGCAAAAAUCGAUUAGUAAUAUUUAUGUCAAAUGUCAAGUUAUCUCCAUUCUUGAUUCUUCACUUAACUAGCAAAGUUGAAUUCUGAAAUGUAAGUAAUAUUGCACGUUCGCAUUUAACACAAUUUAAAAACUAAUAAGAAAAUAUUGUAGGUAUUAUUUGCUAAUUGUCGACCGGUAAUUAAUUAAGAAAUUAUAUGUUCGAAUUACAGUCAUCAUUUAUCGAUCAAGUAUAUUAUAUAACUCAAGUGCGUAACAAAUAAUCUUUGAUUGUUAGCAGGAAGAUAUUUUUAAAACCACGAAAUUUAUUUGUUUUCUAAGGACGUUUUCGGUCUUUGCUAAUAAAGAAUUAUAGUUAAACUGCAUUAAAAUUUGCAAAAGCCAUUCGCAAGCAAACUUUGAGACAUGCUGGUCGUGUUCUUGGUGCUGUAACAACGACUGCCAACACCUGUUGCAUCUGCUGCGACUACUACUGUUAAAUCCGCAGCAAUUACAGCAGCAAUAUCUACCGCUUCGACCCCGACUAUAACUCUCACCAGUAGUUAGUAUAAUUAGAAAUACAGAGAGAUCUUCCAGCCUUUUCACAUUCUAAUAUUUCCUGCAAGAUAAGAAACGCUACCUGACAAUUUUCAGCUACUCAUGUUACUUUGUUGGAGGUUUCACUCAUAAAUCGAAGUUGAAGUUCGAGAAGUUUCGACGUAAUAAAGACCACGGUAGAAAAAUUUAAAAACCCACGUACGCAUCGACCACGCCCGGGACGAAACCGACCCAAACUGAGACAGCAAUUUUGGAAGUUUUCCAAUGUCUGUGUACUUUAACGGUGAAACCUAUUGUUAGUACGAAAUUGAAGUUGGGGUCGACAAUCCAAGAGAGUUUUGGAUAUGAUAGAAAUGUUUGGGGUCAUCGUGUCGUUGAAUCACCACAUUCAGCACGUCUUUUGAUGUGUCUGAUCCCGACUCACGUUUUAUUCCAGUAGCAUUCUUUUCAGUUUCGGGUUGUUUUUCAUUAUUAUCAUUUGUAGCACGUUUUUAGAUAAUAUUUUUAUUACGCAUGUUUACGAGUGAGUCCUUCAAUUGACUUAGCAUAGAAAGUCGCCGCAUGCCGCAUGUCGGUUAGGCAGAAUUUCGAAUUUAUCUGCAUAUAAAGUUUUUUUGCCUGGAUUUAAUUUCUGUUACCCAAUAUUUACUAUAAUUCAAGAUAAUUAUAAUACGAUUUCCUUCUUUUAGCAGACAAUCCAUCGGAAGUAUUUGAGUCUAUCGAUAUCUUGAUUUCAGCUGCUUUGAUCGCUAAUAUUGAUAAUACGAGCGUGUGUGGAACGAAUUCGAAAAUGUCUACGAAUGUUACCGACUCCGAGUCAUAUUUUUUUUAUGCCUUAAUCAUUGAAAACUGUCUCGUCGGCGUCGCACUUAUCUUCGUCAUUUGGGAGCAUAUUUGCCGCAAUCUCGAAGUUACCAAUGACGAAGAAAUACGUCCGGAGGCUGAUCUAUCCCGCAGGGUAGCAACGAUGGCAGCGACGCAACGCGGUAACCGCGUAGACAGCGCAGUUGCAUCUAAAGGCCUCUGCGGUUUGCUGGUCUUGGUGGCAUCAGUCAUCUGCUUGACUUAUUCGGUGGAUGUUUCUCUCUUCGCGCUGAUGGUGAUUUCUAUUCUGGCAACUGUGAUUGGAUUUAAACGUGGUAGUAAAAUGAGAUGGACCGCAGAUCCUCCCUCCUAUUCACAGAGUGCAAUCGUUGGAGUUCCAUUCUGAAGAGCAGUCGGACUUGGAUGAUAUCCUCCUACGCCUGUCGGCGUUUGGCCAGUUAACAUAUGCCGUGUCCAGUGUGGUUGCUGGUGGAAUGGGAGCCAACAUGACGCACGAACCAAAUUUUCUUGUAAUGUUCACGGGAACCUUAACCGCACUACAGGCGAUUCUUCAACAACACUUCAUUGCGGAUGUGUCCAGGCGUAAAGUACCUCUUCCAGACCAAGAGUGCGGCAAGCCAGCCCGUCAAGCCGUCAACUUCCUGUUCGUCUGCAACGUUAUCAUGUGGCUCAUAUACACCAUUAAGGCUCAGCAAGAUCUGGCUAGCCCGGUUGAAUUCGACAUGAACGGAUUCGUCGCCUGGUCCGUCGUACAACGCUUUACUCUGCCCCUCUGUGUAUUCCAUUGCUUCCACUCCGCCAUGACCCUCGUCAAUAUCUGGAACAGAAGCAACAAAACUCGAGUUGAUUGAAUUCCCAUCCAUGAAAAUGGAUAAGCUUUAGUUGCCGUUGAACCUACUUGAACCUAUGCCUACUUAAACAGCAAUUGUAGUUUUUCAAUUUCAAUAUAGGUAUAUUAAGCGCAGGUAGAAAAAUGGCAGGUUAAACUCCCGGAUUUAAGGACUUAAAAACUUCAUGAAAAUCGGUAGAGCCGUUUCAGAGGAGUAACAUUGUGGAACUAACAUUGUCACACAAGAAUUUUAUAUAUAUAAAGAACAGAUAAUUCAAAUCACAUUAACAACGUAGUAAGAAAGUUUUCAGACGUAACAUGGACUUUUAAUAAUGGCCAUUAAUUUCUAAGGCCUUCAUCAAACACGACGCUCUCCAAUUUAAUAAAGUAGUUGCGUAAGCAUUCUAAUAUUAAAGUUUAAAAAAUGUAUUAGCCAACAUAUUAUUAUUUAAGAUAAGUAGAAUGUGAAUGUUACGUACGAAUAGUAUUUAGAUGUUGUAAGUACUUAAUAAGCAGAACAUCAAAACACAAGGAGUGCAGGAAUAUGGCGGAUACUGCUUAACCACAUUAAGUAUAAAUAUUUUGAUUCCAAGGGGCCAUACUAUAUAGAUUUUUUAAUAAAUCGCUCACAUUUUAUAAGCUCUAUAAUUAGAAUUGAAAUUGUUUAAAAUAUCUAGAGUAUUGUAUUUGCUGAAUGGUUAAAAUUAAUUGAUGUCGUUUUGAGUAAAUUUCCUCAAUCUACGAACGAGAUAAACAAAAUUAUACAAAAUUCUGUUGCAUAAAAUGUCUUUAAAAAUAUUUUCGUAACAACCUUUGUGUGCGAUCUUUUUUUAUAAGCUGUCUUUAUAAUUUACUUAGGUAUUGUACCUAUAAGUUUAUUAUUGUAUUACCUAAACGAAGGCGUCAAGCACUAUAUCAUUAUACACACAGUUCGUACGUAACAUACGUACGGACUGUAUAUAAAUAGAUCUUAAAGUAUGAUUUAAUAAUAUAAUAUUUGUUCAAAAUCAGGAUCGGAUUAUUGGAAAAUGUACAGAUGUAUCUUACGUUUAUCAAAUUAUGUGGUUUUCUCGAUGUUAAAUUCGAUACUUACUAACAGUAAAUGUUAGGAAUGUCUACUUUAAAUUAUUAUAAAAUAUAA